UUCCACAUUUGGUGGUGGUGGUGCUGGCACAGUACCUAACCGUCCAUUACUAGUAAUUGAACCGUCUUACAAAAUCAAUGCAGAUGAUAAGAUGAAAAAUCGAUCAGCACGACCAGUUGUUGAUCAAGAUAACAAGACAUCUAACUCUGAUGCAAAUGGAAACUCUAAGACAGUUGUGACAUCUAAUUCUGACACAAAUGUAAAGACAGUUGUGACACCCAAACCUGAUCCAGAAGUGGGUGAAAACAAGCCACUGAAAUCAGAUUCAAAUAAGGAAAACGUGGAGGUUCCAGGAUC
rnacentral:lncRNA from 1 species